GCAUGGCAUAGUGGUUUGAGUCUUUGACUAUGACUCUAGAGACCAGGGUUUGAAUCCCAGCUUGCC
rnacentral:tRNA from 1 species